AGCGGCGGACGGGUGAGUAGCGCGUGAGAAUUUACCUUUUAGUGAAGAAUACCCUCGAGAAAUCGAGAUUAAUACUGCAUAAGUCCCUUCGGGGAGAAAGAUGGCCUCUUGCUGUCGCUGAAAGAUAAGCUUGCGUACUAUUAGUUAGUUGGUGGGGUAAAGGCCUACCAAGACGAUGAUGGUUAGCCGGCCUGAGAGGGUGUACGGCCACACUGGAACUUAGACACGGUCCAGACUCCUACGGGAGGCAGCAGUGGGGAAUAUUGCGCAAUGGGCGAAAGCCUGACGCAGCGACGCCGCGUGAGGGAUGAAGGUCCUUGGAUUGUAAACCUCUGUUAAGUGAGAAGAAAAUACUAUUUUUAAUAGAAAUAGGAAAUGACGGUAUCAUUAGAGAAAGCACCGGCUAA
rnacentral:rRNA from 1 species